GAUGAACGCUGGCGGCGUGCCUAAUACAUGCAAGUCGAGCGAACAGACGAGGAGCUUGCUCCUCUGACUUUAGCGGCGGACGGGUGAGUAACACGUGGAUAACCUACCUAUAAGACUGGGAUCACUUCGUGAAACCGGAGCUAAUACCGGAUAAUAUAUUGAACCGCAUGGUUCAAUAGUGAAAGACGGUUUUGCUGUCACUUAUAGAUUGCUCCGCGCCGCAUUAGCUAGUUGGUAAGGUAACGGUUUACCAAGGCAACGAUGCGUAGCCGAACUGAGAGAGUGAUAGGACACACUGGACCUGUGAUACGGUCCAGACGCCUACGGGAAGCAGAAGUAGCGAAUCUUCCGCAAUGGGCGAACACCUGACGGAGCAACGCCGAGUGAGGGAUGAAGGUGUACAGAUCGUAAAACUCUGUUAUUAGGGAAGAACAAGUGGGAGAGUAACUAUGCACGUCUUGAAGGUACCUAAUCAGAGAGUAAAGGCGAACUACGUG
rnacentral:rRNA from 1 species